rnacentral:rRNA from 1 species
CCUACGGGUGGCAGCAGUGAGGAAUAUUGGUCAAUGGCCGGAAGGCUGAACCAGCCAUGCCGCGUGAAGGUCAGUGCCCUAUGGGCGUUAAACUUCUUUUGUGCGGGAGCAAUAAUGGUCACGUGUGGCCAGACGAGAGUACCGUACGAAUAAGCAUCCGCUAACUCCGUGCCAGCAGCCGCGGUAAUAAGGGGGAUGCCAGCGUUAUCCCGAUUUAUUGGGUUUAAAGGGUGCGUAGGCUGGGAGGUAAGUCAGCGGUGAAAUGCCCCCGCUCAAAGGGGUGAAGUGCCAUUGAUACUGCCUGGCUGGAAUGCGGAUGCCGUGUGAGGAAUGUGUGGUGUAGCGGUGAAAUGCAUAGAUAUCACACAGAACACCGAUUGCGAAGGCAUCUCACGAAUCCGCGAUUGACGCUGAUGCACGAAAGCGUGGGUAUCAAACAGGAUUAGAUACCCCUGUAGUC